AAAAUCGUUGGUUGGUGACGUCACGUUUCUGCACAAGGCGUUCCAUUUCCUAGAGAAUUGGGGUUUGAUCAACUACGGCACGCCCUCUGCCGCGGACGCGGAGAAGGAGGAGGAAGAGGAGCCGUGCAAGGUUCGCCUCGAAGAAGGAACCCCCAAUGGGAUUCGGGUGGCGGCCACACCAAACUCGUUGAAGCCGAUGUUGGUGCCUCGCGGUGCGAAGACCUGUGGAAAUGCGACUGGGGCUUCUCUCAAAUUGCCGCCGCUCGCCUCCUAUUCGGACAUUUAUGGGGAUUUGAUUAGGCAGAAAGAGGGGAACUGUGGGCUUUGUGGUGGCAAAUGUGGUUCAGGACAUUACCGAUGUACCCAGGUUAUUACUUUUUUUUUUAAAUAAUUUUCUUAUGCAUUAAGGUAUUUCUUUUAGUGAUAGAUUGUGCAAUUCUUUGGUUCUAUUUCCUCUUCAUAUCUGAGUGAAGGAGUGGGGGUCAUCUGACAUUUUGUUUCACGGUAUUUGGUGCUUUGCACUGGGUUCGUCGUGUUUGGAUGGUUAAAAUCUUCUACAUUAACUUUAUGCCCGAAGAAGUGUGAAUAAGGGAGGGAUUUUGAGAACUGCAUGAUAACCUUUAUUUCUCAUGCUCUGAAUAGAGGAGAGUGUUUUCUGCUUGUAUACUUGUAAACCAUUUCUACCCUUACAUAUGUAUUAUAUUCAUCUGUUGGAAAAUGAAGUUUAUUGACUUCAUUUAACAUCCCCAUGGUCUCUUGAAUGUAUGCUGACAAAGCAUGUUUGAAGUUAAUUAAUUUGGGGAGUUUUGUUUAUCUAUCUUUUGUCUGCCUCUUAAGCUAAUUUUAUAAAGUUCCAUGUCAUUAAGCUUUCUAUCUGGGAUUUUUCUUAUAUUUCUGGAACUGGUAUCUUUAUUGGUUAUUCUAUUUUUUUUUUUAAUAUUGUGCAGGAUAAUUUCAUUAUUUGUGCAAAUUGUUUCAAAAGUGGGAAUUAUGGGGAGAAAAGGUUUGCAGAGGAUUUCGUAUUGAGUGAGUCAAGUGAAAACAGUGGCAAGCAUGACACUGUCUGGACUGAGGGAGAAAUUCUUCUCCUUUUGGAAUCUGUUUUGAAGCAUGGGGAUGACUGGGAACUGGUUGCUCAAAGUGUUCAAACCAAGACUAAACUUGAUUGUAUCUCAAAACUAAUUGAGCUGCCUUUUGGAGAGCUCAUGUUGGGCCCUGCUCACAGAAAUGUCAACGGUAGUGGUGCUAAUGGUAUUGUGGUGAACAAUGCAAAACAAGUUCAGUCAUCUUCAUCCGACUGCCAAGAAAUUUCAAAAACAAAGGAUCAACCUCCCGAGCUUACAAAUGAAAAUGAGCAGAACGGAGAUGCUGUGAAGGAAAGUCCUUCAAAAAGACAGCGUGUCACUCCCUUGUCAGAUUCCAGUGGUUCACUAAUGAAUCAGGUAGUCUUGAAUUUCAUGUCCUUUGUUAUAUGUGUAACUUAUAAUUUUUCUAAUCUGUUGCAUUCCCUUUUUACCGACUUGCUGUGGAAUUACCUUAUGUGUAACAUUUUUGGAUUUUGCGAAAGGCUCAUAUCAUAGCUGUUUAAUUUGUGUAAAUGCCUCUUUGGCCUUCUCAUCUCUAGUAUAUAUUGAAUAUCCAGGGAUAAAAACCAUGAAAAAACAUGUGCAUAUUGGUUGUAAUAUUUUGAUAUUCUUUUGAAAUAAAAUUGCUUCGAAUCAGUUAUUGCUUUCACCUCCUUCAGUAUGACCAUGGAUUUUUUAUGUUUUGAAUUAGGUGGGACUGAUCUCUAAUGUGGUUGACCCUCAUAUCACAGCUGCUGCAGCUGAUGCUGCUGUUUCAGCUCUUUGUGAUGAGAAUUUGUGUCCAAGGGAGAUAUUUGAUGUUGAAGAAGAUUCAGCAAGGUCUGCCCGAAGCCUCUUAGUUUAUUUUCAUUAAUGACAUUUUGCUGACUAGUAACUAUUAAAUUUAGCCAUUAUACCAUCCUUAUACUCGUUAUUAUCUGUGUCAGAGAUCUUGAGGGAGAAGGUUUAGAGAUGGAGAGGUCCUCUAUAUCAGGUAUUUUUUUACACUAAGGUGGUAUUUUGAUAUUCUUUUGACAAUCCAUAUAAUUAAGUUCAUUUUUUGCAUACAUUUGCAUCCCCCAAAACUUAUCUACUUUCCUAGAUAUGUGAAACGAAAGAACUUUGGCUCAUUCGAUGCAAGUUGUAUGAAUAAUGAUAAUAAUGGUUAUACUUUUCCAUUAUUUUUGUUGAUAGCCUUUGUUUUUUGGAUGUUAUACUUCUCAAUACUUACAAUACUAGAUUAAUUUGUCAGUAAAGUGAGGUUUUGUAAUCAGGUGGACAUUGUAUUAGGAAACCAUAUCAGGGAGAGCAAUGGUGAGUUCAUGUUCCUUGUCAGAUGAAGGUUUGAGGCAGUACCUUGUAAUGGGGUAUUAUAAGGAUUUGGAUUGGAUUGAUUUGCUAGAAGUUAAAUUCUUCAAUUGGCUAAGCCACAAAACCAAGGCUCUGCAAGUUUAUUUGCAUAGGCCUAAGACACCAAAAACUGGUUAAGAAGUAUUUGUUUUUUUGUCAGCAAUCAAAAUAUAUGGAUAUGCUACAAGGGGGUACCAACCCGCAUGCUAAAAAUCUAGAGGAAGAUCAACAAUUCAGGGAGGGUGUUAUAUCUUAUUUACCGUUACACUAGUAAAUAGUAAUAACCAAGAAACCUUCCCUACUUGAGCCGAUAACAACCAUAAAAUACGGCAAGUACAGGCAAAGGAAAAAAGUCACUGUGUAUACACAUUCAUGCCUACCCUGCCAGCUAUCUGAACCAAUUAUCUUCUCUUCCUCCCCUUUCAAGCAUGCUUCUUGUUACAAUCCUGUGAGACAUGAUCCUGGACUGAAAUCCCAUUGUAUAUACAUCAUGUUAAUACACUGAUCCAGGUCAUUGGUCUUUCCUUGAAGUACACACAAGUUACGCUCCUUCCAGAGGCUCCAAACAAAUGCAGACCACAGUAAGUUGGGGGACAGAGAAGGUAAAUCCGAUGGAAAAGGGAAAGAGUGAUUUACGUGGGAUUAUGAUGCUUCACUUAAAGUUUGAGCUAUUUGAGAUUUUCCAUAGUUUGGGAUCAUUCUGCUAAUCAAGUUUUCCGUUAGUAAAAUUGUCUCUCUAUUUCCAGACAGGAAACACUUCAUAUUUGAUUAUAAGUAACCCAUUUUAGGGCAAGGGUUGCUUACUUAAGAUGAGCUAUAAAAUUCGAGGAUGAAGUAUAAACAAUUGAGUAAAAGGGAAUAGGUAUAGGACUGCUUAAAAAUAAUAAAAUAGUAUAGACACAAACAUAAGGUUAAGAAUAAAAAAUUCAAAGAUCAAGUGUGCUAUUCUCGACUUGAUAGUUCUUUUACCGGUUGCUUCUUACCGGGGGUAAUUUAUGGACAUGGUUUUGUAUUUUUCUUGCUCUGUAUCGAGAAACUGUUGGGAAAUUAUAGCAUGAAAGAUUGAUUUCUUGCGUAUAUCAUGAUUUUGAAGAAUGAGUUUGGUCCCCCAACCGUAGCAUUUAUUUCAAUCUAUCACUUGUCCUUUGCAGAUGCCUCAGUUGAGGUUUACUUCGGACAUGAGAAAUAGAGAGCUUUAAUUUUUUAUUUUUUUAAAAUUAACAGCAGCAUGCAUCUAUCUUAUUGUUUUGGGCAUCUUCUGUUGAUUUAUGUAUUUGUGGAUAAACAUUGUAUGUAGUAGCUGCUUGUCACCUUUAAUCCGAGUUUGCUCUUGCAGAAAUACCUUUGCCACUGCGUGUAAGAGCCGCUACUGCAACUGCUCUUGGAGCUGCUGCUGCUCGAGCAAAGUUGUUGGCAGACCAGGAAGUCAGAGAGAUUGAACAUUUAGUGGCAACUAUAAUUGAAGCUCAGGUUCUUAGUUUAUGAUUUUUUAUAUCUUCAUCUCCGAUCAGCACCGUAAUAUCUCUGGUUCAGGUCUCUAAAUAGGGGGGUUAACUAUUUUUUUAUUUUCUUAUUUGUUAACUAGAUCGAUAAGUUGCUGCACAAGGUUAAACAUUUUGACGAUCUGGAGCUGUUAAUGGAAAAGGAACAUGCUGAAAUGGAAAAGCUAAAAGAUUCUAUCUUGACUGAACGGAUUGAUGUGUUAAGGAGAACAUUUAGAUCUGGAAUCACUAGAUGGAAGGAUUAUUCGUAUGUAAAAUCUUAGACCAUGUAUAGUUUUGGUGCUCGAUGGGUAUGAUUGGACUGUCAUUUUACAUAAGGGUCAACAAAUUACUGUAAGAUUUACCAUUCAAUAUCAUUUUUCAUCAAUGCCAAUGAAGUGAUGUAAAAUUGAUUAUUUAUUACACCGUAAUCCAGUGAUCAGCUAACAACUUUUAGAAAGUUAAAUCUUUGAUACUAUCUAAACCUUUUCGAGUAGUGCAGCAGCUUCUGUUGGAUACUUGAAAUUUUGGCUUUUGAAUAUUCGUUUAACUUGGUUCUAAUGUAAUUAAAUUGUACAAAAUUCAGUUUAUUUCGAAUAUAAAUUUCUUGCGUACACUAUUACACUGCAUCAUUGAAAAUGCCUAGUUGUAGACGUUAGUUCUUAAGUCUUGAAUAGGGAUGUCAAUGGUGAUAUUCGCAUUCUUUUAAUAUCCAUGGGUAUUUAGAAUUACUUUUAAAACAUUAAACAAAAUGUUUUGACCAUAAAAAUUUAAAAAAUAAAUCGUACAAAAAUAUAUAAAAAUAAUAAAAAUUUGUAUAGUUAUGAAAAUCUAGAAAAGAAAAUCUACAAAAGGUUUUCAAACAAAGUCCAAAUUAUAUAUAUAUAUAUAUAUGGGUUUGCUAACUUGCGUACGCCUGUUUUUCAGUUGGUACAUUUUAGCAAUGUGUACCGGGUUUCAGUAGACAAAAAUACCCUUAUAUCAUGAAUUCUAAGUUUUAAGGUUAAGGGUAUUUUAAUAAUUUUCAUUCUCAAAAUUAAAAAAAUAAAAAAAGAAACCCCCUAAAUCCUUACCCACCUCUCUCAUUCCUCUGAAUCCUUUUUCUUUCAUCUCUUUCCCUCCAACCUUUUUUCUCUGUCAUCCAUACUUUAGUCCUAAUUGAAAAAAAUCAGAAACACUUGCCUUAUUUUAAUAAUUUCCAUUCUCAAAACUAAAAAAAGAAACCCCAAACCCUUACUCACAUCCUUUAUUCCUCUCAACCCUUUCUCAUUCAUCUAUCUCACUCAAACAUUUUCUNUGUCAUCUCUGCCAUAGCCCCAACUAAAAAAACACUCAUUAUUAAACGAUUUACUUUUGUAAAGAGUUGAGUCAUUGACAUAUUCAUCUUACAAAAAAAGUUCAUUCAAAAUCUCUUUAAUUUCAUUAUCUUCACUAUACAUAUUAUUGCCAAGGGACAGAAAAAACAAAUCAAAAUACAAUAAAAUUCCGAUAAAAUCAAAUAAUAAAAAUUCUAAACCUUGAAAUUUUAUUUUAAAUUAUAUAAAGAAAAAAAUUAGGUGCUUUAAUUUUUUUAUUUAUGUAAGUAUUUUUUUUCUCUGACCAUUUUAUUUAAUAAUGAGUGUUUUUUUAGUUGGAGCUAGUGCAGAGAUGACAGAGAAGAUGUUUGAGUGGGAGAGAUGAAGGAGAAAUGGUUGAGAAGAAUGAAGAAUGUGAGUAAGGGUUUGGGGUUUCUUUUUUUAGUUUUGAGAAUGAAAAUUAUUAAAAUAAGGCAUUGUUUCUGAUUUUUUUUUUGAAUUGAGGCUAGAGUAGGGAUGAGAGAGAAAAGAUUGGAGUGAAAGAAAAAGGAUUGAGAGGAAUGAGAGAGAUGGGUAAGAAUUUAGGGGUUUUUUUUAUUUUUUUAAUUUUGAGAAUGAAAAUUAUUAAAAUACCCUUAACCUUAAAACUUAGAAUUCAUGAUAUAAGGAUAUUUUUGUCUACUGAAACCCGGUACACCUUGCUAAAAUGUACCAACUGAAAAACAGGCGUACGCAAGUUAGCAAACCCCNAUAUAUAUAUAUAUAUAUAUAUAUAUAUAUAUAUAUAUAUAUAUAUAUAUAUAUAUAUAAAGUUUGUUAACUUAUAUAACUUUAAAAUUUUAAUUGACAAAAAAUUCUUAUUUAUAAAAAAAACAUAUUUUUAACAUUAGUGUAUUUUAAUAAUUUUUAUUUUUAAUUUAAAAUAAAAAAUAAUAAAAAACAAAAUUUAUUUAAAUAUUUUUAAUUUUAAAACUUAAAAUCUAUAAUACUUUUGUUCACUAAAAUAGACAUUAACAAAUCCAUAUAUAUAUAUAUAUAUAUAUAUAUAUAUAUAUAUAUAUAUAUUAACAAAUAAGAUAAUAUGAUAAUCAUACAUGUUUCGUUAACAUGUGAUAAAAAAAUAUUUGUAUAUAUCCAUUUAUAAUAUUCAAUUUCUAUUCAUUUGAGUAUAACAAAUAUUCGUAUUCAUUAUCCAUAUAUCCAUUUAUAAUAUUUAAUUCUUACUCGUUGUGAAUUUUAUCCAUAAAUGCUCAUGGAUAUAAUUUAUUUUACAUCUCUGAGAUUCUUCUAACCUGAGUUUAACUAUCUUUUUGUGCUUAAUUCCUAUUUAGUUGAUUGGCAGCUGAAUAUCAUCAUUAUGAAUAGAUGAUAAUAUGAAUCUCUUAUUAAGAAUGAAUAACUUGGUCCCUCUCCAAAUAUAUAAUAGUUCAAAAAUUAAUUAUAGUAAAAUCGAUAUAAUUUAAAUAAAUCCGUACAAUGCAUUAUAUAAAUUUGCACAUUUCAAUUUCAGUCUUUAUUCUAAGCCUUAUGACUUCACAUUAUUUUAUUCUUAACGAGGACUCAGUCUCGUGGAAUGUCCAAAGAUUUUUAUGCAUGUGAAUGAUGAUAUGUUCCCUUCUUAUGUUGUUUGCUUAUAGGAUUGAUAUUUUUGAUGUCAUUGUGCUUCCUCUAUGCUUGUAAUAAAGUGAGGUUGUAUAUUGAUGUUUUGGAAUAUAUGAUUGGUGGUUUUGUUGCAUGAUAGAACGAUGAACCUUGAGUAAGGGCAUGUGGCAUCUCUUCAUUAUUUUUGCUUUCAUUAAUCUUAUAGUUUUGCUAUUCCGAGUUUAUCUUUUGAUGUGUAAAAUCUACUGUUGAAUUUAUAUUUAAGUUGAGAUUUUUACUUGUAUGCAAGGGAAACUUGAUAGACUGUUUGUAGUUUAUCAAAAAGACAACGGAAAUAAAGUCAGAUGGGUUUCUUUGAUGGAUUUGUCAAAAGUAGGUUGUGGGAAGUAUACUCUUAAACAUUAAACAUAUGCCUGGUGUAAACACCAUACAUACCAUAAAUUUCUGUUACGAAACAAUGAGCCAAAACCAGUGAUGGGCGAAGGCUAGUUACAGAGUGUGAAUGUAUGAAGGAGAGACAUAAAAAUCAAGUAUUUGUAAUGAUUUUAAUGUUUUAUUAAUGUAUAACUGAUUUAGUUAUUAUUGAAUCCUUAAUACAAUAUCUGUUGUGUAAAAAAUUAUGUAACAUUCUAUCACUUAUUGUUGUCUAUUUUAAAACAAGUCAUUAUUCCAUUUACAUUAGAUAAUGUACUAAGAAAGUGUUACAGUGUUCCUACCAUUCUUUUAUUAUAGUGAAACUAAACGCAUUCUCACAUCGAUUAACAACGAAGGAAUGAGUAUCGUGUAAAUACUUUUUUAUGAAAAAUAAUAUAAAUAACUGAUUUAAUUUGUACUUUGUAACGCUAAAUCAUAUUUUCUGCCUUCUUCCCCCUCCUCUGGUACUAUCACUUUCAGUCAACAUUCAUAUUCCUUGCCAACUGCUACAAUUUUUCUUACAUUUUUAGGCCUAUACAAUUUUUAGAAAUAGCCUUCAUUCUCCAUCUCCCAGACCAGUAAAUUCAACAGCAAAUAAAGAUCCUUGCCACCAUAAUGUUGUAACUGAUUCGAUGAAAAAGUGUAUAAGUUAUUUUUAAUUCCAAUCCAACUGUGUCCGAUGACCUCUUUAGUACCUAUAGUUUCCACAGCCUUCCUCAUUCGAACCAUGGUCUCCCAUCUACCUCUCAUUUGAUAUGUUUGAGCCAAUACCAAGUAAGGUAAGGAUGUCUGUGUUUCACUAUCGAUUAUUUUCUUUGCAACUCCUUCUAUAAUUUGCAAGUCUCCAUAAACUGCACAUGCAGAAAGAAUUGACCUCCAAAUACCAGAGGUAAUUCUAUAUGGCAUUGUUUCUAUGAUAUCAAUGGCUUCUUUGAGCUUGCCAGCUUUACUCAACAUCGCCACAGCACAUUCAUAAUGUUCUUCUCCUGGUUUUACUCCAAAUUUAAUCUCCAUUAAUGAAAAUAUUUCAAUUCCUUCAUCAACCAAUAACCCAUAGUUGCAUGCAAGUAGAACUGCAGUUAGUGUAAUUCGAUCUGGAAGCAUGUCUUCUCUAGUCAAUAAUUCCCUAAAGAGGUCCAUGGUAGAAGACACUCGCCCAUUGUAAGUCAGUCCCAUCAGUAUAGUGUUCCAUGAUACCAAAUCUUUAAUUUUCAUUUCAUUGAAGAUAUUCAAGGCAUCGUCAAUAAACCCAAAUUUGGCAUACAUGUCAACAAGUGAAUUGGCAACAACUGCAUCUGACUCAAAACCCAGUUUAGGAACCAAAGAAUGGAUUAGAUUACCCACUUCAACUGGUAACAAAACCGAAACAGAACUCAGAAGAGAGCUAACCAUGUAUUUUGUUGGCCUGAUAUUCUUCCGCAAGGUCAGCACAAAAAGUCGCAAAGCAUCUGCCCCUAAAUCAUGUCUAGCAUAGCCUGAAAUCAUGGAAUUGCAUAGAGCUGAAUCCCAUUGAUCUUGUUCCUUAAAGAGCUGAACAGAAUCAUCCAAUCUGUUGCAUUUGGAAAAGAGGUCAAUAGCAGCACUGGAUACAAUGCUAUUAUAAACAAAUCCCAUCUUGAAACAAAAGGCCAAAACCUGCUUACCCUUGUCCAAGUCUCGCAAGUUAGAAUAGGCACUCAUUAAUAUUGAACAUGUAAACUGAUCGGGUAAGAAAUCAGCAUUUCUCAUCUGAUAGAACAGCUCCAAAGCCUGCUCAUGGUUCCCAGCUCUUUGACAGGCCCAGAUCAAAGAGUUCCAAGAUAUAACAUCAAUGUGUUUCAUAGUCAUAAUCACACCAAAAACAUAUUCAACAAGACCAAUCUUUCCAUACAUUGUUAUUAACGAAUUCCCAAGAACUACAUUAUCAAAAUUCAUCCCACUUCUGAUCAUCCUACAAUGAAUCUGUUUAGCAUGAGAGGGGCUUGGCACGAGUGACAUCACAAUGGAGAAAGUGAACCCACUUGGUUUCACACCAGUGCCUUGCAUUUCAACGAAAAUCUCCCACGCAUGACUUAAAAACCCACAAGAAGCAUAACCCGAAAUCAUGGAGUUCCAACUAACAACAUCUCUAGCAGGCAUUGCACCAAACACGUGGCAGGCCUUGCCGAGCUGGCCACUUUUCAGCAACGCUUUUAAGCAAAUGUUCCAGGACGUGGUGUUCUUGUGAGAAAUAUCGUCAAACACCUUCAAUGCAUCAUUGAUGUGGCCGAGCUCUGAGUAAAGGUUGAUACAGCGAUUACCCAAAUAGGUGUAGGUGUUAAGACCCAGUUUGAUGAAGUUGGCAUGCACGAGUUUGACAAAGUUAAGCGAUUUUUGAGAUAAACUGUGGCUUAGGAGAAGAGAGCAAUAAGAAAGAGAAAAGUGAGAACCUUGCGUGUGCUUAAAAAAUGGGUACAUGCAAACGCUAAUGUCACGUUCAGAGGCACAUUUGAGACCAAAGACAAGCACACGCUGAAUCACAGCUUCCUCCAGUUUUCAUCUCUGCCUUUGAUGGCUUCAACAUUUACUUGUAGUUAUCAUAUAUAUUCCAAUAAAAAAAAUGGAAAUAAGAUGUUAGCAACAUAAAAAAGGAGUGACAUAAUAAUAUUAUAGGUAAGGACUCCGAUAUUUUGACACCAUUGUUUUGACACACUUUUAACAUUGUCACGUGUCAGCAUGUGAUUGGGGUUUAUUUUAACAAAAAAAAAGUUAAAAUGUGACGUCAUUUAUGAAGAAUGGUUUCGAAUUUUCACACUCUAGUUUUGACCUUGCCCAGAUUGAUCUGAAUAUGACAUUAUCUUUCUUCUCUGUUUCAUCACAUUUCGAAUUCUUCCUCUUCCAGUUUCUCCAUUUUCGACUUCUCUGUCUUCCAGUUUCUCCAUUCCGAUAGCUUUGUGGGUGACGUUGUCAUUGCACGGUUUGGUUGUUAGUGUGUUCGUUGUGUUCUUUUUGAGAAAUGGCGAGUUCUUCGAGCAGGGUAAGCGCUUUCAUCCUUGGUGGGUUUUGGUGUUUAGUGUUUGGUAAUUGGAGUUUGGGUUUUGUGUAUUUUUUUCAUUUAGGGUUUUAAAGUUUUGGUUUUUUGAAUUUGUGUGCAGUUGACGGUUCGUCACUCAGUUUCAACAAAGUACACAUGUAGUUUGAACAAACUAUUGAGAAAGGAGCACCAGUCAGUGAUUGCAGGCACUCCUUUUUGGUGAUUUUUAGAUUUGACUGAUAAUGUUAAAGUUGGUAGGAAAAUCUUGAGUGAGUUAGUGUUUAAAUGGGUGGAUUCAAGUAGUGGUUUUAUAAUUGCAAAGAAACUUGUGCCUAUGAAAGAGAAAGAAUUUUGUUUAUGGCUGGGGUUGAGUUUAGAUGGGAAGCAGAUAGAUUUAAAGGGAGAAAUGGAAAGAAGUAGAUGUGUGAAAUACAUUGGCAAUAGAACAAGAGAUUUGAAUUUGGUACACAAAUGUAUGAUGAAGAAAGUAAAAACCAUUCCUUCUUCUCCUUUUUGUAGCUUGUACAUAUUGGUUGGAAUUUGUGAGAUAUUAAUUCCACAAUGUAAUGGGAGAGUGUUUCCCAUAUUAUUUGAAAUUGUUGAUAAUUUAAAUGAUUUCGGUAAAUAUUGUUGGGGUACUUUAGUGUAUCAAUUUUUGGUACGUGGUCUGAACAAAGCUUCAGAUGCUUUGAAGAAAGGAAAAGCCACAACGAACGUUUAUGUCGAUGGUUGUAUUUACAUGUUGCAAGUAAGUUGUCUUUAUUGAUUUACAAUGUUGAAAUUGAUAUCGGUCUUGUGGCUUCCAUUCAGUUAUUGAGUAACAGUUAACAUGAUAAAUUUUGUGUAGGUAUGAUUUUGUGAGAAUUUGAUUCCUCCCAAAUGUGCUAUAGAAAAAAAAUCCAAGAAUAUUGCAUUGGAUGAAUAUAAAUUUGGGAGACAACGUAGUGAAAGGAGCUUUGGAAACUGGUCUGGUAUGUGGUAUGUUGUUAGAGUGAUUUUUCUUAUUAUAAUUGUGUUCCUAGUAUGAUUUGAAUUGUUGAAUUUCAGGUUAAUGAUGAUGUUGAUGUUGAUGUUGAAUUUGGUACAAUGAAGGAUAAGAAUGAUCUUAAGGAUGAACCAAGACAAAAGAUGAAAGAUGACAAGGCAUCAGCAAAGAAGCUACUUAAGAGAAAACGCAGAGAGAGUUUUAUGCAAAUUUUACACCAGCAACAAAGUGUAGUUGCAGAACUUAAAAGGAGGGUUGUUGUGUUGGAGGAAGAGGUGGCAUUUGAGAAAACUAGACGAAGAAGACCAGAGGAUGGUGGACAGAGUGUGCCUUGUGAAGAACCGUCCAUCUCCCCGAGAGGCUUCUCCCCGGGCGGCAUCACCCCAGGCGACAUCUCCUCGGGAGGCAUCUCCCAAAAAGGCAUGUCCACCGAUCGUCCUCCAAUGAAGACAUAUGUCAGGAUGGGGUCACGAAGGCAUUACAAGAGUAGAGCGCUUAGAACUCCUUAUGUAGGAUUGCUUAGAAUAAAAAAUGAAUGAUAUUUGUAAAUAUUUCUUAAGAGAUUGCAAUAUGUAGAAAUUGUAACAUGAACAUAUGUUUUGUAAUUUGGUUUGUAUUUUGUUGAAUGUUAUAAAAAUGGAAGUUGCCUUUAUUAAGAUAUUGUUAAUGAAUAAAGUUUGCAUUGAAAUGUAGUGUUAAUGUAUUUGAAUGAUGAAUCAAACAACAUGAUUUUUAGUACAAGACGUGAAUUCAAGUCCUUAGGAACUGAUGCAGCAGAAAACCAUGUGGUAAUCGUUUACCACAGACCUGUAAACGAUUACCAGAACUAUUUUUGUGUUUUGGACACAAAGUGCAAUAGAGGGAGCCCUCUAUUUGUUCGCAGCGGACCAUGUUUUAUAUUUCUGUUCUAAAGCAGUGGUGGAACUGAAUAUGUGUCAUGUAGUGGUUUGGUAGGUGUUCUAAGUGUGGUUUUCAAUGGUUGGGUAUGCAAAGACAAAAUGAUUUNNNNNNNNNNNNNNNNNNNNNNNNNNNNNNNNNNNNNNNNNNNNNNNNNNNNNNNNNNNNNNNNNNNNNNNNNNNNNNNNNNNNNNNNNNNNNNNNNNNNNNNNNNNNNNNNNNNNNNNNNNNNNNNNNNNNNNNNNNNNNNNNNNNNNNNNNNNNNNNNNNNNNNNNNNNNNNNNNNNNNNNNNNNNNNNNNNNNNNNNNNNNNNNNNNNNNNNNNNNNNNNNNNNNNNNNNNNNNNNNNNNNNNNNNNNNNNNNNNNNNNNNNNNNNNNNNNNNNNNNNNNNNNNNNNNNNNNNNNNNNNNNNNNNNNNNNNNNNNNNNNNNNNNNNNNNNNNNNNNNNNNNNNNNNNNNNNNNNNNNNNNNNNNNNNNNNNNNNNNNNNNNNNNNNNNNNNNNNNNNNNNNNNNNNNNNNNNNNNNNNNNNNNNNNNNNNNNNNNNNNNNNNNNNNNNNNNNNNNNNNNNNNNNNNNNNNNNNNNNNNNNNNNNNNNNNNNNNNNNNNNNNNNNNNNNNNNNNNNNNNNNNNNNNNNNNNNNNNNNNNNNNNNNNNNNNNNNNNNNNNNNNNNNNNNNNNNNNNNNNNNNNNNNNNNNNNNNNNNNNNNNNNNNNNNNNNNNNNNNNNNNNNNNNNNNNNNNNNNNNNNNNNNNNNNNNNNNNNNNNNNNNNNNNNNNNNNNNNNNNNNNNNNNNNNNNNNNNNNNNNNNNNNNNNNNNNNNNNNNNNNNNNNNNNNNNNNNNNNNNNNNNNNNNNNNNNNNNNNNNNNNNNNNNNNNNNNNNNNNNNNNNNNNNNNNNNNNNNNNNNNNNNNNNNNNNNNNNNNNNNNNNNNNNNNNNNNNNNNNNNNNNNNNNNNNNNNNNNNNNNNNNNNNNNNNNNNNNNNNNNNNNNNNNNNNNNNNNNNNNNNNNNNNNNNNNNNNNNNNNNNNNNNNNNNNNNNNNNNNNNNNNNNNNNNNNNNNNNNNNNNNNNNNNNNNNNNNNNNNNNNNNNNNNNNNNNNNNNUGGAACUGAAUAUGUGUCAUGUAGUGGUUUGGUAGGUGUUCUAAGUGUGGUUUUCAAUGGUUGGGUAUGCAAAGACAAUAUGAUUUUUAGUACAAGACGUCAAUUAAAGUCCUCAGGAGCUAAUGCUACACAAAAGCCUGUGGUAAUCGUUUACCACAGACCUGUAAAUGAUUACCAGAACUAUUUUUGUGUUUUGGACACAAAGUGCAACAGAGGGAGCCCUUUAUUUGUUCGCAGCGGACCAUGGUUUUAUAUUUGCGUUGUUACGUUGAUUUAAUUUAUUUUUUUAGGUUGGAUAAUAAUGUUCUUUAACGAAAUCAUGCACAUAAGAAACAAUUUUCAAUACUUCAACCUACUUCAUUCAUUUCAAGAAACCAUAAACAAAGUUUUAUUGAAAUAUAAAAAUAACAAAACUUGAACAGAAAUUGUUGUUGUGUAGUUUGGUUCACACCGAUAUUGGGUGGUUAAUAUUACAACUACAUCCAUUAAUGUGAACUUCUACUGCAAUAUCAUGGCCAUGGUGUUGAACCUCGAAGACAAGAAUGUCUUCUUCCUUCAAGCGAUAUUCACUGCAAAAGUCUUUCCAACCUUUUCCAAACUUUGUUGAAUUCCGAGUAUGUGAAACCAAAACCUUGCACCUAAUGCCAUCCUUAUGACCAAGCAGCACAACCUCUGUGAAGUCGUUGUUCCUAAUUACAUUACCAAAAGUGGUACACAAGUCCUGAUAAACAACAAAUAUGAAGUGAAUGUCAUUGCGAUAGUACAUUAUGAUGACAAAUAAUUCGGUAAACUUGAACAAUUGCAUACGUACCAAAUGACUUCCUUCACAUUGUGAUUUAGUCAAUUUUACAGCGAACAAUGAGGACUCAGGAUCAUAAGUAGACUGAUGAAAAAUAUUCUCUACUACUCUCGGUGCAAGUACCAAAAUAAAUUAUGUUGAAAUGGUUGUUACCCAAAUAUUGGAAGGUGAUGUGGGCAUCAUUAAGCCUUUCAUGGUAUAUUUCUUUCACUACAGACCAUCCAUUUGUAAUUCUAGGAUGUAACGUGUUCAUGUUAUAGGUAACGAAGUGCGUGUGACCAUGAUUGUCCAGCAACGUCCAAGUGCAAAACAAUACGAAGGCGCCACUACAAAACAAUAACAUAACAUACAUUACAUACUAACCUUCACAUGUUGUACAUCACCCAAACGAAUAAAACAUAAAAUUGUAUCUUACACUUGGUUUUCUUGAACCCAUUGGACCUUCAGAGAUAACAAUGCCCAAGAAAAAGUUAGGUUUCGCUAAAGAAAAAAUACCUCUCUUUUGGAUAUUUGGUUACAGUAAGUUCAUUGUUGCACUUCAAAAAUAACAAAACACCAACAACAACAAUGGUAUAGGGCAAGCUUCUUCACUGCAAACCAAGAAGGCCCGAUACACCGCCAACAACCCACACAACGACAUUGAUGAUGCGAGAACGAGAACAACCAUUGACACCGACAACGCCUAUGGAGAACGACAAAACGAGAGCAGGAGAAAACGAUUUGGGGGCUGCGAAAGUGAUGAUGAUGGAGAUUACCGUCGGAGAAAAAUUGAGGAAAAAGUUAAAAUGAAACUAUGAAAGAGGACGCCAAGAUAAAUUUCAUUAUUUUCACAUUUCCAAUUUUGUCACUCACUUCUUUUGCAAAAAUCAUUUCUUUUUUAAAUAAUCCCAGCCAAUCGUAUUUUGACAACUGGCCGUUGUCAAAACCGUGUCAAAACACGGUGUCAACAUAUCAUUUUGCUUUACAAUAAUUCUACUCUAUGAUGACCUGAUUUUUUUUUUUUAAUUUAUGAAAUUUGUAUAUUAAGAAUUUUUAAAGUUUUUUCUUUAAAUUUUCAAAUUAUGUGUAGUAUAUAUUAGGAAGUGAUAGAAAUUAAUUUAUUUUUUUUAUUUCUUUUAUAAAAUAUAAUAUAUAAUGUUAAUAAAUAAUAAAAUGUAAAAUCAAAUAUAAUAAAUAAUAAAAACAUUCAUUAAGAUAAUUUUUAAUUAUCUUGAGUUUUUCAUAUAUUGUAUUUAUUUUUUACUUUCACUUAUUUUCUUUUUGUUUCUGAAAAAAAAAAGUUAGAUAAACUCGUUAUUUUUGCUUUUAUGUUUUUUUUUUCAUUUUUGAAGAAAAAAAUUGAAAUAUUAGUUUAAUAGUUAUUAGUAUUUUUAUUUUAUGAGCCUUUGUAUAUUCUUAUAAAUAUAGAAGAAGAAAAAUGCACUAUGUGUUUUUUUAGAAUCAGUUUUUAAUUAUGGCUUGAUAGAGUUUUCUUUUAGUAAUUACGAUUCUAAAUUUUCGAUUAGAUUAUGAUCAUUUUUUUUUUAAUUUUAAACUUCAAAAAUAUAGGUAUAUGAAUGAAGAGUAGAAAAAUAAAUUCAUUUUUCAAAAAUAAUUAAAGAAAAAAGAUGAAAAUAAGAUAAUUUUUUUUUUUUACAUUUUCUGAAACAUCAUACUAAUAAUCUAAUUGUUUAAUAAGAGAAACAAUUUUUAAAAGGUUUAAAGAAUGACAUGCAAGGAGUUUGAUAUUAAUUUCUUAGAACAUGAUAAAAACUAGGCAUAAUAUAACAAGCUAAUCCUAAAACAGCAACCGGAGUUCUAUCUACACUAGUUUCUACAAGUUUCAAACAAUCAAACUAAAACUAAAAACAAAUAAAACUAACGAAAACUAUACAAAAUUCUAAAUUUAACAUGGGCAAACCUAAGAAAUGAAAAAAUAGCAUACUAGCUAAGUAGAAAAAAAAAACUAAAAAAGAAAAGUAAAAUGCAAGACAAUUGUUUAAACAAGUUUUGGAUGGUAAAAGAGAGUUAAAAAUAAAACCAAAAGUUACAUAUCUAUAAAAACUCAUCAGUGAAAGUCUAAAAAUGUGUUAAAACUAAUAAAAAUAAACUAAAAGUAUGCAAUUAAUUUAAUGUCUACUACUAACACUAUCAAAAUAGUAAAAUAACUAUAUCAACAAAUUCUAAUUCAUCAAACUAACUUACAAUUAUCAUUAUUUACUCAAAAUAACUAAAGAUGCAAAAUAUGACUAUAUAAAUCUAGAAAAAAAUUUAAAUCAACACAACAAAACAACGAAAAAAAGUAAAGAAAAACUCUAAGCUAAACUCAAAAUAACAGAAGAGAUUCUACUAAAACCAAUUCUUACAACUUUAAAGUAUUAAAAUAAAACUAAAACCAAGAUUAAUUACUAAAAACUAUAAAAGAACCAAAAUCUAGCAUGUGCAUUGACAAAGAAAAAACUAGCUCUUAAAAUUGAACUCCACAAACUGUGGAUUUUUGAAAUCAAACUAAUAAAUUUAUUGCACUCAAAUUAUAGAUAAUUAAAUUAAGAAUACAUUGCAAAAAUAAUCAACUCAAUAGGAUAAUUAUGGAAAAAGUUAUAGACAAAACAAGAAGAGAUUAAAUCUAUUAGCAUUUAAGUUGUGUUCACAUUCAAGCAUUUACUGUUAAGACAAAAUUGAGAAGAUGGAUUUGAACUGAUGGUUGGUGUUCACAUGCAACGAUUUGGAAAGAAAAACGAUGAUGGAUUACCGGGAUUGCUCCCUAGUAUAAUCUCCCUUGUAUGAAGAGACUUACGAAGAAUGAAUACAAAUUUAUUUAAAUACCCUUUGUUUAACUUUUGUUUUCAGUGAUUUCAUUAACUAAAUAAUUUAUGACUUUUGUUAGAAAAGAAUGAUUUAUCGCAUUUGCAAUAAUUUAUGAUUUUUGCUUACAUAAAUAUUUAAUAUUAAAAUAUUUAAUUUUUAUUUGUAUACCAAAUAAAUGGUAUUUUUUUUCUAUUACAAUAAUUAAUUUUUUUUCAAAACUAUUCAUUGACAUUUAAAAGAAUCCAACUAAUCCAAAUAAUAAUAAUAAUAAUAAUAAUAAUAAUAAUAAUAAUAAUAAUAAUAAUAAUAAUAAUAACACAUUUUUUUCAUGUUAAAAAUUAAUUUUUAUUUUUUUCUCUUCUUAAAAUAUUUUUUACAAUUAUAUAUAAUAUUACCAUUAUAAUUUUAUAUUACUUUUACUACUAAGGAUAUUUUAGUAAUCUUUAAUUUUUAUCCAUUAAACAAUUUUUUUAUCUGUCACAUUAGUACAAUCUUACACUAAUUUUCACAAACUUUACUUCCAAAUCCACUCUCACUCGCCUCUAAAUUCACUCAAAUAAACAACAAACAAUUUACUCUCAAAUCCAUCCACUCACUCUCCCCCAAAUCCUUCCUCCAAAGUAAACACACCCUUAAAAUCUAAUUAUUUUCUAUGAUUAUACAAAAUUAAAAUAUCAAGUUAAGCUAGAAAUAUCAAUACUAAAACACUAAAAGAAAAUGGAAAGGAAACUACUUAUACAAGUUCUAAAAGGUAUAUAAGUGCCGAAAAAUUGAAUACAACUAAAAACAACAACCAAUCUAAAAAUUCAACUAUGCAAAUAAAGAAAUAUCCUUCCUACUAAACAAAAUAAUGCAAAGUCAGAUCAUUAAGGCUUUGUUCUCUUGAAUGGAUUUGGGGGAGAGUGAUUGAAUGGAUUUGAGAGAUUUGAAGAUAAAUUUUUUUGUUGUUUAUUUGAGUGGAUUUGGAGGUAAGUGAGAGUAGAUUUGGAAGUAAACUUUUUUAAUUUGUCACAUAAAUCAAAUCCUACACUAAUUCUCACAAACUUUACUUUCAAAUCCACUUUCACUUACCUUCAAAUCCACUCAAAUAAAUAACAAAAAAAAUUACCUUCAAAUCCUCUCAAAUUCAUUCAAUCACUCUUCCCCAAAUCCAUUCAAGUGAACAAGGCAUAACUAACUGUUCAGAUGGAACCUAAUUCAGUAAAAUAAAAAAUUUAGUUAAAAUCUUUAAUGAAAAGUAAAAAUAGAACCAAUAUACAGCUUUAAUAGAAUAGUCUUUAAAUCUUGAACCUCAAUGUUGUCUCUUUAGUGAAUUUGUAUUAGCAAAAGCAUAAAUUAAAACCAAAAUUGGUUAGAAUCAUUAGGUAUUAAUCUAUAUGAGUAAAACAAAAACAGAACAAUGUUAGAAGAUUAAGUGCAAGAAUUAGUAAAAGUAGUUAAAGUUGUUAGUCAAAACUAAUUAGGACAACAAGAAUCAACACUAGGUAAUCAAUUUACCAAUCUAAAACAACAUUAUUGCACAUACUAUACUUUCUAGACACUUAAAAGAACAAAAGAAUGUCUUGAACAAGUCAUCAAUAGAAAAAUAAAAUUCAAAACAAGACUUAACUAUUUAGAAUAACAAGAAAAACUAUAACUAGCAACCAACAUAAUGAAAAAAACUACAAUAACUAAUAAACUCAAUCUAAAAAAAAGUUUGAAUCAAUAAAAGAAAACUAAGAAAAGAGUUAAUAACUAAAAACAACAAAACAUUAUAAAUUUCACUCUUAAAACCUAUAAAACUACACUAUACCAUAACAAGCACAAUCCUUACUACAUAACAAUUAAAUUUACAACUAGAAUUAGUAAUGAAAUCUGUCAGCAACAUUAAAUCAAUGAAGGAAAGUAAGGAAUCAAACCAAAUAGAAAGAAAUCAGAAUUAAAAAGGUAAAAGCAAAAUUAGAAAAAAAAAACAUAUGAAAACCUCGAAUGAAUUUAUAGGAAAACAUUACAAGGGGAUUGAAUAUUGUUAUGGAAAAACCUUUUUGAAGAUGGACGUUUAACAACCUUGGUGAUGAUUAGCCGAUCUACAUAUGUUGCUAAACGCUUGAUUUAUAAGACAUUGUUUAAACCACAACGUUCUGAGAUAGAGUGUUUUUCAAGUGUUUAGCAAAACUACUGCAGCGUUUAAGAAAGACAACUCUUAAGGAAAAUAACGUCUGAUGACAAGAGCGUUUAUCAAUGGUUAACUUCGUAAGCAACUGCACUGUUUAUAAAUACGGUGUUUUAUAAAGCUAAAACAAUAAACAAACAAUUAUUUUAUAGUAGUUCACUCAACUAAUUUACAUUCAGUUUUCCUCUAAGAUCUCUUAAAGGGUUUUACUGUAAUCUCAACAAGAUUAUAACUGAGUAUUAGCAUCACUCCUGGUUACACUAGUCAAUCUUGGUACCACCUGUUAUGCUAACUAUAACUGAAUAUUAGACACCCAUCUUAGCAAUCCUAGUAACACCUGUUACACUAACUAGUUUAAGUAUUCUAAACCACUUUUGGUUCCCCUAUAGUAAAUCUUGGUAACACCUAUUAUGCUGACUAGUUUAAGUAUUCUAAAUCAAUCCUGGUUUCCCUAGUCAAUCCUACUAACACCUGUUACGCUGACUAGUCUGAGUUUACUCACUCCUAGUUUCCCCUAGACAAUUGUCUAGUAGGCGCUUAGCUCAAUUGAGCUAACCACCAAAUGUUUGAAUUCUCUUCAUAAUAUAUAAUCAAUCAUAUUAUUUACAAGUCUUAGAUGAUAACUCUCACAAAGAGGAUGUGUUUACCAUACAACUCAAUCUAAUUGACCUUGUAGAAAUUUCUCUUCUUAGAGAUGUAGUUUAUGACUCUAUAAAGCUUGAGAGUGUAUUCUCAGAAUGAGUGUGAGUUUCGCUUUUUAGAUGAUCUUUUCGUAUUUGUGUGUUUAUCCUUCUUGAUCUUCUUUCCAAGGGAUCUUCUACUUAUAGGCUUCAUGGAAAAAUAUUCAUUAGACAAUGUUUGUCUUCAAUCUUCAUAUCUUUAUAGCCUUUUCAUAGGUAGCAGCCAUAAGUUGAAGUCAACAUAUCAGAGCAAACAUGCUUUUUGCAGUACUUUAACCAAAGUAGGUUGUACGAAAUCUUCAGCACGACUUUUGAUGGAGAGAACAUUCCAUGAAUGUCUUCUUUGUUUCUAGUGUCCACUUCUGACAUGUUCAUGAUGGAAGAUGUGGAUAUGUACAAUAGGUAUCUGCACUUAGUAGAGUAAAGAUGUAUGCUGGAAUAUAUAUCCUUUUUCUUAUUACUUUUGUUGUUUGAAACGUUGUGCAUUUUAUGUUUUGCAUUGCGUGUUAAAAACAACUUGGUGCUUGUCAAUUUUUCUAUGCAUGUAGAUUGUUUAAGCACUUUUGAAAAAAUACCAAGUAUUGAUUCAUAAAUAUUUCAUCGUUGGGGUGAAAACAUCGUUUAUUAUAAGGUAUCGUUAAACCUUUUAAAGGCAUUUGCUAACCGCUCAUCAUUUAGGGAUCUUUGUUUAGUACAAGAGCACAUUUAGGAAAGUGUUGUUCAACCCAUUGUUUUUGAAGCAUUGUUUAUAACUUCAACGCAUUUACCAAAAACAUCAUGUAGUGUAUUAUUUUAUUGUUUAGUAAGGUAUAGUAAGAAUACCUUUAACAAAAAUAUCAUAUAGCAUAUUGAUGUGUUUACUAAAAUAUAGUCUAAUGUUGUGACCCUUUCAUAAUAAAUCAUGAUUUAGUAAUAGCACGUUUACUGUCAAUAGAAUCAUUUGGUCCUAAUACGUUUCCUGAAACUUUUCUUUGUUUAUUCAAAAGUCAUAACACUUAUUUCAUAAGAUGUCUUUUAUACAAUGAUAUUGUACGCCUCUAACCCUUUUCAACCAAAACAGAUAUUAUUUUCACAAGGUAUUAUUUUGUCAAAUAUUCAUUUCAUUUGUCGUUGUUUAUUAAAUUUCAAAACAUGUAACAAGAUCGUUUAUAAGACAAUACCAUCUAACAUGGAACAUUUAACAGCAAACUCAAACCACAAGAAAACUAUCUAAAUUUUAAAACAGCAAAAAGAAACUAAUCUCAAUAUUAGCAACUCAAGGCAGUAAAAGAAAACUAUAAAACCUAUGUGAACUGGAAAACUGAACCUAGAGGUUAAGCAUAAUUAACUAAGGAACUAUAACUAACUAAGCAAUUAGGAAACUGAAAAAUUAAAACUGGAACACAAAUGAAAUAACUAUAGAAACAAACUAAUCCAGUUUAGACUACUAAAGGAAAGCUGGAACAGAAUUUUAAUACUAAAAGAAACCAAUCAAAAUUUAAAACAGUGAACUACACUAUCCUAAACUUUAUGGGUUUAUUUAUACAUUUAAUUUCGGUUUGAUUUACUUACAUAAAAUUUUCUUUAAAACUAUUCAUCUUCUUUCUUCAAUUUAAAAAAUAGUCAUUUUUGGACUUCAACAUGGAUCAUUUAAGCCAACUAAUAAAUUAGAUAUUUCUCAAUAAAAAUAAGUAAGCAUGUGAAACAUGGACAUAGAAAUUCAGUCUGGUUAAUUGUGAGCUUCAUUGGAGCAAUGCAGAGAGGACCAAUUUACACAUCUAAGUCCAAAACCAAUAGCAAAGGAAAGGAGUGUAGAGUCAUUCGUAUUUGGAGGGAAUGGUAGGGUCGGGGAAUUAUUGGGAUAAAAAUCCUUUUCCUCUUACUUAACAUCCCAAAACGUUUGCCUUAUGAUAAAUAGCACUACAGCACCAACGCAAUCUCAACAUUUGCAUAAUUCCAAAUAUUCCCAGUCUGCCAUAAUAGAGACUUUGUUCCAGUCAGCUAUAAACCUGUGAUAAUUUGCAACAAUCUGCACAACUGGGUAAAAUGUGACAUUUCAUAAACCAUUUUUUGCUGCCAAUAGUCCAACACUCAUAGUGUCAUGUAUUCUGGGUAAAAACAUUGUGCUUCAGUCUCCUACUAUACACCCACAACACUUUUAGCAAGAAACGGACUUAAUCCAACUUCUGCUACAUACUUUUAAGCUGCUCGUUGAAUCAGUCUCUUGAAAACAGCAAGUCAGCUGAAAAUAAGCCAAAAAAAUUUGGAGGUCCAGAAUUAUCCUCUUAAGAUUGGUAAAUAUUCUGGAAACUACAAAGGUCAGCAGAUUUUCUCAUUCAGCAAUCUGCCCAACUGCAACCAGGAAUCUUCUGAACACGCUUGUCUCUCAUCAGUUCUCUUACUAGUGCUGACCCUUCCCAAUCCCCAGAAGAUGCAAGUAUGUUAGACAAUUGUAUAUAAGCACCUGCAUUUUCAGGAUCAAGCUGAAUGAUUUGCUCUGCAGCCGUCUUGCCAAUAAUCUUGUUUCCAUGAGCAAUGCAGCCUCUCAAUACUGACAACCACAUGUUUGCAUCAGCCUGAAAAGGCAUCUCUUCCAUAAGAUCCAUUGCUUCCUCGAAGCAUCCUGCUCGAGCAAAAAGAUCAACCAUGCAAGAGUAAUGUUCACUCCCUGGAUCUAUAUAAUAGUUAUGUUUCAUAGUGUGGAACAGAUAUCUUCCUUCUUCAACCAGACCACAAUGAUCACAGGCUGAAAGAACUCCAGUAAAAGUAAUGGCAGAAGGUCUGAAACCACAAUACCUCAUUUCGCUAAAGAGUGUCAAUGCUUCAUUUCCACAUCCAUUUGCGGCAUACCCCAUCAACAUUGUGUUCCACGAGACUUCAUCAGUUUUUACCAUUCCAUCAAAAACUUUACGCCCUAUCUUAACAAAACCACAUUUACAAUAAAAAUCAACAAGGGAGGUAGAAAUAAUCUCGUCGGAGUCAAGUCCAAUGGUAAUAGCUUUACCGAAGACCUGCUCACCAAGUUCAAGGGAUGAUUUGCUGCCACAAGCACUGAUAACACUAGCAAAACUAAACUUGUCCGUUUUUAAGUCCAGUUUAUUCAUCUGACAAAAAACAUCCAAUGCUUCACUUGGAGACGCAUUCUGGGUUAAGCCAACUAGGAUUGAAUUCCAUGAAAUUAAGGUUUUAGUAGGCAUCGUAUUGAAAAUCCAUUUGGCUUCUUCUAUCCUUCCACAAUUGGAAUACACGGUGAUCAUAGUAUUAAGUAAAAUGGUAUCAUAAGCUUUGAGCUCACUAAACAACUUGCAAGCUUCACAAGGGCUUUGACAUUUGGAGUACGCAUCAAGCAGAGCACUAGCAACCACUACAUCAUGAGUCGCCCCAGCUUUACAACCGUAGGCAUGCAUUUGCCUAACAAGUUCUACAACGAGUAUACCACUGCCUGCACUCAAAACAUUAGCAACAGUAGACACGUCUCCCCUCACACCAUUCCUAAGCAUUGCCAAGAAAAGAUUCACUGCUUCCGUCUCCUCGCCGUUGGAGACGUAACCCGAAAUAAUCGAAUUCCACAGCACAACACAGGGAUCAACCUUACUGUCAAAAACCCUUCUCGCCUCCCUCAUUCUGCCAGCGUUUGCAUAACCAAAUAUCAAAGCUGACAAGGAGAAAUCAUCCACUUCCCUCACGAAACUCAUAACGCGAGCAGCACCAUCCAAAUCACCACACUUGCCAUACAAGUUAAUCAGCGAGCUGCACAAAACCCUGUCUAGCUCCAACCCAAGACCAUCGACGAAAACACGUGCGUGGACUUGUUUCCCACAGUUGAGAGCCAACAAUUCAGCACAAGCCCCGAGAACGGUGGCCAGCACAAAAGCAUCACGGUAUAUUAUUUGUGCAGGGUCAGAGUUCAUGCUCAUGAACAGCAAAAGUGCUUUACCAGGAUGCCCAUAUCGGGAAUAACUAUGAAUUAAGGAAUUCCAGACAAGGUGGUUCUUUGAGGGCAUUGCAUUGAAAAGAGAGUGCGCUAGUUGGAGGUGUCCGGACUUGGCGAAUGAGCAAACGACCAUGUUCCAUGAGAAGUGGGUCUUGUGAGGCAUGGCAUUGAACAAGUGGAGGGCACUUUGGGUGUGGCCUGAGUUAAGGUGGGCUUGGACGAGGGUGUUCCAGGAGAAAGGGUUUGUGUUGGGCAUUUCGUCAAACAAGCGGGACGCAUCACGGAAAAAACCGCAGCGAGUAUAUAGUUGAAGAAGACGGUUUGCGACGGUGACGGAGUAAUUCAGAAUGCCGGAUUUAAGGAAUGCCACGUGGAGUUGCCUCCCUUCACGAACGGAGGAGCAGGACUGAAAGGUACGUGCCAAAACUUGCAAUUCCAUACCAUUCUAUUUACUUUCUUUGCGUAGGAAUGGGUUUAACUGGGAUACUACGGCGCGCCCUCUGCUGCAGACGCGGAGAAGGAGGAGGAGGAGCCGUGCAAGGUUCGCCUCGAAGAAGGAACCCCCAAUGGGAUUCGAGUGGCGGCCACGCCGAACUCGUUGACGCCGAUGUUGGUGCCUCGCCGUGCGAAGACUGGUGGAAAU
rnacentral:lncRNA from 1 species